rnacentral:rRNA from 1 species
UCGCAUCUGUGCAUGCAGCAUAUCAAUAAGCGGAGGAAAAGAAACUAACAAGGAUUCCCCUAGUAACGGCGAGUGAAGCGGGAAGAGCUCAAAUUUGAAAUCUUAAAGGGUUUCCCUUUACGAAUUGUAGUUUAAAGAAGUGUUUUCUGUUGAGGUUUUGGUAAAAGUUCUUUGGAAUAGGACAUCAUAGAGGGUGAGAAUCCCGUAUUUGACCUUUACUUUCAACUUUGUGAUACACUUUCAAAGAGUCGGAUUGUUUGGGAAUGCAGUCCAAAAUGGGUGGUAAAUUUCAUCUAAAGCUAAAUAUUGGCGAGAGACCGAUAGCGAACAAGUACCGUGAGGGAAGAUGAAAAGAACUUUGAAAAGAGAGUUAAACAGUACGUGAAAUAUGUCAAAAGGGAAGCGUUUGACACCAGUGUUGUUUUUCUGAAAAUCAAUUAAAGAACUGUUUAUGCUAAGCUGUUUAGACUUUAUCAGCUAAUCUGUUUAGUUUUGAGCUUUUCUUUAAUGCACUUUUCAGUUAACAAGUCAACAUCAAUUUCUUUUGCUGUAAAAAAGCUUGAGGAAAGGUGGCUUGAGAUUCGUCUUAAGUGUUUAUAGCCUCUUGCCUAUGCAGUCGGAGAGAUUGAGGUCUGCAGCGUAGAUCCUUCGGGGCUAAAUGCAUUUGUGCUAAGUUAUAGCAUUUUAUAGACAACUUGUUGACUAUGAUUUGUCUUGUAGCUUACUCGCUUAUGUUAUUUUACCUACGCUUAGGAUGUUGACAGCAGUAUAGACUGU